GACGAACGCUGGCGGCGUGCUUAACACAUGCAAGUCGAACGGAAAGGCCCUGCUUUUGUGGGGUGCUCGAGUGGCGAACGGGUGAGUAACACGUGAGUAACCUGCCCUUGACUUUGGGAUAACUUCAGGAAACUGGGGCUAAUACCGUAUAGGAGCUCCUGCUGCAUGGUGGGGGUUGGAAAGUUUCGGCGGUUGGGGAUGGACUCGCGGCUUAUCAGCUUGUUGGUGGGGUAGUGGCUUACCAAGGCUUUGACGGGUAGCCGGCCUGAGAGGGUGACCGGCCACAUUGGGACUGAGAUACGGCCCAGACUCGUACGGGAGGCAGCAGUGGGGAAUAUUGCACAAUGGGCGGAAGCCUGAUGCAGCAACGCCGCGUGCGGGAUGACGGCCUUCGGGUUGUAAACCGCUUUCGCCUGUGACGAAGCGUGAGUGACGGUAAUGGGUAAAGAAGCACCGGCUAACUACGUG
rnacentral:rRNA from 1 species